AUCUUGAUGUAGUCAUUGUGUGCAAUGAAUAUGGGACCAAAUACUAAACAUUUGACAACUUUAACCCACUAAGUGAUAUGUGUCCAAAUACUUAAAAUCUUCAAAUGGGGAGGGGGGGGGAACUAGACAUAUAUAAAGUGCUUUCAUUCCUAAACGGUAAAUCAGACAAUUCUGAAAAUACCAUGAAUUAAAAGGUGACAUUCUGUACUGUAUUCUGUACUGUAACUGUAGAAAAAGCCCAUGGAGUUGGUGGAAUAAUCCUUUAAUUCACUGCCAUUUACUCAGCUGGGCCAGGGGCGCUUUAAUUAGGUCAGGUGGAAAUAUCCGACAGAUCUCCACUCCAUAAAAGGAGUAAAUCACCAUCGCCUGAUCGCGCUGCUUUCUCUUCCUUCACUCUGUGCGUCCAUGAAUCCACCAAUACUUCAUCGAGAAACGAACAUCCUCCUAGCUGACUUAGAAGACACGGAGUGUGCAAAUCCGGCUCUGCCUGGUGCAUCACACAGUUGGAGUGUGAGGAAGGAACUCUCACAGGAUAGGUGAAGGGAGUCCAGGCCUGAGAUCGUAGAUUCUCUGCUGGCUGCAGAGCAUGCUUCUCAGAAAAUAUGUUAGUCAUACAAUUUGAACAGGGCUAUUCUGCGAUGUAGAGACUGUCUGCCGAAACAGCUUUACCCUCGAGGACUGCGAUGUCUCUACACAUGCAACGUUCCCCUUGCACAACAGAGAGUCCAUGAUUGAGGGAUUCUACCUGCCCCUUCCUCCAACUACAGCCAUAUCUCUCCACAGUCAUGAUUGUUUCUUACCAUUGGACGUACCAGAGGUGAUAUGUGGUUGCCUGACUAGCACCAUCCAUGUUGGCCCUGGGAAACAUAUCAUCCUUGUGGGAAUAAAUGGUCGCUACAAUGUCACAGUGCCUGUGCUGACCUGCACAACCUGUCUUAUCACCUGGACAGCAAACUUGGCAGAUCUGAUAAAGAAUGGGUACUGGCCUGCCACUGUCAACUGUGACACCAUAUAACUGCAUGCUUGCAGUGUCAGUGGAUGGGAACAAGAAACUGUAUCGAUUCAAAAAAGGAGCUCGCCACUCUUCUAGACAUGAAGCCACUUCUUUCCGUCAUGCAUGCAAAGGCACAUCGUUUGAAAUGCGAGCAAGAACCGACAUGCUAACCAUCCAGGCCGUGGGACAGAAGGAAGAACAACCUGCACAGAGCAUUGUUCCCAAGAUAUUUGAAGGUGUAUUGUGUGGAUCAAUACAUUCAUUUUAGAAGUAUUAUCUAUGCAUUUAAUUUAUUUUAAAACAAUUAAUUAUUCUGUUUUGUUUUUGUCAUAAUUCCCAGACAACAGCAAAAAUCAACAGGAGGAGACCUAGACUCAAAUGUUUAAGAGUGAUUUGGGUGUAGGCGAUGAGACUCUGGACAACGGAAGUUCAGCAAUGGGCUAAUAGAGAGGAAACAGCUUAGAACAUGGAUGGUCCCCAGGUACUACAGAGAACAAUUGAAGUCCUCUUACUUAGCAUCAAACAAAGGAAACAGAACCUCUUCCUUCAGACAGAUGGAUGCAAGAAAAGACACCCUCUGCGCAGAAAGAUAUUGGAAGAAAAGACCAAAUUGACAGCUGCCAUAGAGGAGUACAACACCCUUGUACUAGGUUCAGCAAUACCAUCUGCAGAUGAGAUCCUUUCCGCAGACCUUCAUGCAUGGCCUUGGGAGCUGCAUGGACAAACUGACUUACUCAAAGAAAAUGGCCUUUGACCAGGUGAUGCUCCUGAGAUGGCUGAAGGAGGAGGAGUUAAUUGUCCUAAAGGAAGUCAAGCAGCACUGGGAAAGCCUAAAGAGGGAAUCGGAGAAUGUGCAAGACUUUGCUUCACAUGUGGCACUUGACCUAAGCAGGCAAAGCUGGCAAUUGAAUCAGUCGGAAGCUGGGAGCAGAGGUCUCUUCUCCAUGCUUCAGAGGAGAGUCAGCAGCCUCCGAAGACACCAGGACUCUGUCAAACUGAUAUACAGCAAAGCUAUGGGCCAAGACACCUCCCUCCUAGAGACGACCUCCUGGAAGAGGACAUCUACGACAGCAUCCACUACAGCUCUGAUGACGAGGAAUCUCUCACAGACUGAAGGUGUUCGUUUGGGUGGGCGCAGUUUGCACUGGGUGAAAAGUGAUUCCAUUCGUUUUGCAUAUGUGCUUCAUCUGCCUUCCUAAGGAAAAAUAGUUUGAACAUUUUAUGGAAAAUAAACUUUUAUGUUUCUUCCUUGUUGACAAUGUGAUCAAGUGGCACAUACUUGAGAAGGGCGCUCAUCUGUUACUGCUUUUGCCCGGUUACAUGACCAGGUCAGAUGCACCCCUUUAAAUGGCCAGUCUGCAGUUGCUACAUCCACUUUUGGAUUCUUGAAGAAUAUAGUUCAACUACAGUACCC
rnacentral:lncRNA from 1 species